rnacentral:rRNA from 1 species
UACGGGGGGAGCAAGCGUUGUUCGGAUUUACUGGGCGUAAAGAGCUCGUAGGUGGUUUGUCGCGUUGUCCGUGAAAACUCACAGCUCAACUGUGGGCGUGCGGGCGAUACGGGCAGACUGGAGUACUGCAGGGGAGACUGGAAUUCCUGGUGUAGCGGUGGAAUGCGCAGAUAUCAGGAGGAACACCGGUGGCGAAGGCGGGUCUCUGGGCAGUAACUGACGCUGAGGAGCGAAAGCGUGGGGAGCGAACAGG